rnacentral:rRNA from 1 species
AGUUCGAUUAUGGCUCAGAUUGAACGCUGGCGGAUGUUUUGCCACAUGCAAGCUCGAACGCAGCACGGACUUCGGUCUGGUGGCGAGUGGCGAACGGGUGAGUAAUGUAUCGGAACGUGCCUAGUAGCGGGGGAUAACUACGCGAAAGCGUAGCUAAUACCGCAUACGCCCUUCGGGGGAAAGCGGGGACCUCGCCUCGCACUAUUACAUGGGCCGAUAUCGCGAUUACGAAGGUUGGUGGGGUAACGGCUCACCAAGGCGACGAUCCGUAGCUGGUUUGAGAGGACGACCAGCCACACUGGGACUGAGACACGGCCCAGACUCCUACGGGAGGCAGCAGUGGGGAAUUUGGACAAUGGGGGAAACCCCGAUCCAGCCAUCCCGCGUGUGCGAUGAAGGCCUUCGGGUUGUAAAGCAAUUUUUGCAGGAAGAAACGGCACGGGAUAAUACCCCGUGCAACUGACGGUACCUGCAGAAUAAGCACCGCUAACUACGCCAGCAGCCGUAAUACGUAGGGUGCAAGCGUUAAUCGGCACCAUUGGGCGCAAAGCGUGCGCAGGCGGUUCGAAAGAAAGAUGUGAAAUCCCAGAGCUUUAACUUUGGAAACUGCAUUUUUAACUACCGAGAGCCAGAGUGUGUCAGAGAGGGAGGUGGAAUUCCGCGUGUAGCAGUGAAAUGCGUAGAUAUGCGGAGGAACACCGAUGGCGAAGGCAGCCUCCUGGGAUAACACUGACGCUCAUGCACGAAAGCGUGGGAGCAAACAGGAUUAGAUGUCUAUAGUCCACGCCCUAAACGAUGUCAACUAGCUGUUGGGGCCUUCGCCUUGGUAGCGCAGCUAACGCGUGAAGUUGACCGCCUGGGGAGUACGGUCGCAAGAUUAAACUCAAAGGAAUUGACGGGGACCCGCACAAGCGGUGGAUGAUGUGAUUGAAUUGAUGCAACGCGAAAACCUUACCUACCCUUGACAUGUCUGGAAUCCCGAAGAGAUUUGGGAUAAGCUGCAAGAGAACCGGAACACAGUGCUGCAUGGCUGUCGUCAGCUCGUGUCGAGAUGUUGGGUUGUCCCGCAACGAGCGCAACCCUUGUCAUUAGUUGCUACGAAAGGGCACUCUAAUGAGAUCAUGGUGACAAACCGAGGAAGGUGGGGAUGACGUCAAGUCCUCAUGGCCCUGCAGGUAGGGCUUCACACGCUGCACACAAUGGUCGGGACAGAGGGUCGCCAACCCGCGAGGGGGAGCCAAUCCCAGAAACCGAUCGUAGUCCGGAUCGCAGUUCGCAACUCGACUGCGUGAAGUCGGCCCUUAGUAAUCGAUCAGCAUGUCGCGGUGAAUACGUUCCCGGUCUUGUACACACCGCCCGUCACACCAUGGGAGUGGGUUUUACCAGAAGUAGUUAGCCUAACCGUAAGGAGGGCGAUUACCACGGUAGGGACCAUGACUGGGGUGAAGUCGUAACAAGGUAG